rnacentral:rRNA from 1 species
AGUGAACGCUGGCGGUAGGCCUAACACAUGCAAGUCGAACGGCAGCACAGGAGAGCUUGCUCUCUGGGUGGCGAGUGGCGGACGGGUGAGGAAUACAUCGGAAUCUACUCUGUCGUGGGGGAUAACGUAGGGAAACUUACGCUAAUACCGCAUACGACCUACGGGUGAAAGCAGGGGACCUUCGGGCCUUGCGCGAUUGAAUGAGCCGAUGUCGGAUUAGCUAGUUGGCGGGGUAAAGGCCCACCAAGGCGACGAUCCGUAGCUGGUCUGACAGGAUGAUCAGUCCCACUGGAACUGAGACACGGUCCAGACUCCUACGGGAGGCAGCAGUGGGGAAUAUUGGACAAUGGGCGCAAGCCUGAUCCAGCCAUACCGCGUGGGUGAAGAAGGCCUUCGGGUUGUAAAGCCCUUUUGUUGGGAAAGAAAUCCAUCUGGUUAAUACCCGGGUGGGAUGACGGUACCCAAAGAAUAAGCACCGGCUAACUUCGUGCCAGCAGCCGCCGUAA